rnacentral:rRNA from 1 species
AACGCGAAGAACCUUACCUACCCUUGACAUUCAGUGAAGCUGAUAGAGAUAUUGGUGUGCCGAGAGGAAUACUGAAACAGGUGCUGCAUGGCUGUCGUCAGCUCGUGUCGUGAGAUGUUGGGUUAAGUCCCGUAACGAGCGCAACCCUUAUUCUUAGUUGCCAACGCGUAGAGGCGGGAACUCUAAGGAGACUGCCGGUGACAAACCGGAGGAAGGCGGGGACGACGUCAAGUCAUCAUGGCCCUUACGGGUAGGGCUACACACGUGCUACAAUGGCCGGUACAGAGGGGCGCGAAGGGGUGACCUGGAGCAAAUCUUAGAAAGCUGGUCGUAGUCCGGAUUGAAGUCUGCAACUCGACUUCAUGAAGUCGGAAUCGCUAGUAAUCGCAAAUCAGCAUGUUGCGGUGAAUACGUUCCCGGGCCUUGUACACACCGUACGUC